rnacentral:lncRNA from 1 species
GGUGGCGGAGAGAGGUGCAGCAUAGUCCCAGCCCCGCAGGCGCCUAGACCAAAGAGUGGCGGCGCGGCGGGGGCGGGGCCUUCGACGCACGCUCCCUCCCAGCCCGCCUCCCCGCUCACCCACCUCUCCUCCCCUCUUCCCCCGCCGCCUCGCGUUACCCGCCUGCACGCGGGCCGCCCGUUGCCUUGGCAACCGUCGAGCCGCGUCUUCCUGAGGGAGCUCUGUCAGCCCGCAGAUCCUGUCGCCAGUUCCCCACUGCCCCGCGAUUUUCGCGUGGGCUUAGAGGCGGAGGGACAACAAAAAAUGGCGGAGCGGAGCCAGACGGCGCCUGAGGCAGGUCUGUGAGGGCGGUCGAUCGUGGGGAAGCUUUGAGGCAGCAUGGCUGUCCUGGGUCUGAGGGGAGAGGGGACUAGGGCAUGGCCCUACUCCUGAGGAGGCGCUCCUGUGUAUUUGCGCCUUAGGGCUGUGACCUCGGGGUCAGGGGUCAGGGGAGGUACAUACCGCUCUCAGUGGCGGGCAUGGACCUCGGAGUCCUGGCGGCAGCGGCAGAGGUGUAUGCGGGACUGUGCACACUUCUAAGAGCUCUGAAUGUUGCAUUUGACUUCAGUUUCAAGUAUCAUGGCUCAGUGUCCCUUUCAAUGAGAGAUACCAGAGAACUGUAUGUAUUAAAAGAUCAAAUUGAUAUCAGUAUUUUGCAUACAUAUUUUUAAGAAAGUCACAGCUUUAUUUUCAGGUCAUUUAAGAGCAGUAAGUCUCUCUCUGCC